CUAGCAAAGUUGCUUAGCAUCUGGCUAAAUUGCUGAGGCUGGCUUUGAACUCCAAAUUCCCCUGACUCAGCCUCUCCAGCUACUGGGAUAACAGUCAUGUCCCACUGUGCCUGGGGAGUAAGCAUUUAAAUGUUAGUUUCAUGGUAUGACUAAUACAGGUUAAAAUGAAGGAAAACACCAGUAUGAGAGCAAGAAAUCAGAAAUAGAAUGUUUCAGGAAGGUAAACGUUGUAAACUGGGCAGAAGAAGGUCAAGCAAAUCGAGGACUGAAGUUUUGUCAGUAGAUUUGGCAUCCUGAAAUUUAGAGAUGACCUUAGGGAAAGAAGUAAGUAGUUCUGCAGAGGGGAUUAGCCAGAUGAGAAUAAAGCAAAGAGUCAAGGUAGAGGAGGAUGUAUACACGCUGUAGACACAUUUGGUCACGUAGCUG
rnacentral:lncRNA from 1 species